rnacentral:rRNA from 1 species
UACGUAGGGUGCAAGCGUUGUCCGGAAUUAUUGGGCGUAAAGAGCUCGUAGGCGGUCUGUCGCGUCUGCUGUGAAAACUCAGGGCUUAACCCUGAGCUUGCAGUGGGUACGGGCAGACUAGAGUGCGGUAGGGGGAGACUGGAAUUCCUGGUGUAGCGGUGAAAUGCGCAGAUAUCAGGAGGAACACCGGUGGCGAAGGCGGGUCUCUGGGCAUUUCCUGACGCUGGAGGCGCGAAAGCGUGGGGAGCAAACAGG